UGGGGAAUAUUGCACAAUGGGCGCAAGCCUGAUGCAGCCAUGCCGCGUGUGUGAAGAAGGCCUCGGGUUGUAAAGCACUUUCAGCGAGGAGGAAGGUGGUGAGCUUAAUACGCUCAUCAAUUGACGUUACUCGCAGAAGAAGCACCGGCUAACUCCGUGCCAGCAGCCGCGGUAAUACGGAGGGUGCAAGCGUUAAUCGGAAUUACUGGGCGUAAAGCGCACGCAGGCGGUUUGUUAAGUCAGAUGUGAAAAUCCCCCGGGCUCAACCUGGGAACUGCAUUUGAAACUGGCAAGCUAGAGUCUCGUAGAGGGGGGUAGAAUUCCAGGUGUAGCGGUGAAAUGCGUAGAGAUCUGGAGGAAUACCGGUGGCGAAGGCGGCCCCCCUGGACGAAGACUGACGCUCAGGUGCGAAAGCGUGGGGCAGCAAACAGGAUUAGAUACCCUGGUAGUCCACGCUGUAAAACGAUGUCGAUUUGGAGGUUGUGCCCUUGGGGCGUGGCUUCCGGAGCUAACGCGUUAAAGUCGACCGCCUGGGGAGUACGGCNCAAGGUUAAAACUCAAAUGAAUUGCGGGUCAU
rnacentral:rRNA from 1 species